UACGAAGGGGGCGAGCGUUGUUCGGAAUCACUGGGCGUAAAGGGCGCGUAGGCGGCCCUUCUUGUCGCGUGUGAAAGCCCCGGGCUCAACCUGGGAAUGGCGCGCGAGACGGGGGGGCUGGAGUUCGGGAGAGGAGCGUGGAAUUCCCAGUGUAGAGGUGAAAUUCGUAGAUAUUCGCAAGAACACCAGUGGCGAAGGCGGCUCACUGGCCCGGUACUGACGCUGAGGUGCGAAAGCGUGGGGAGCAAACAGG
rnacentral:rRNA from 1 species